rnacentral:rRNA from 1 species
CCAGACUCCUACGGGAGGCAGCAGUGAGGAAUAUUGGUCAAUGGGCGUAAGCCUGAACCAGCCAAGUAGCGUGCAGGAUGACGGCCCUAUGGGUUGUAAACUGCUUUUUAAGGUGAAUAAAGAGGGGCACGCGUGCCCUGUUGCAUGUAGCCUUGGAAUAAGGACCGGCUAAUUCCGUGCCAGCAGCCGCGGUAAUACGGAAGGUCCGGGUGUUAUCCGGAUUUAUUGGGUUUAAAGGGAGCGUAGGCCGCAGGUUAAGUGUGUUGUGAAAAGCAGUCGCCCAACGUCUGCCUUGCAGCGCAAACUGUCCUGCUUGAGUGCGCACAACGCAGGCGGAAUUCGUCGUGUAGCGGUGAAAUGCUUAGAUAUGACGAAGAACUCCGAUUGCGAAGGCAGCUUGCGGGAGCGCAACUGACGCUGAAGCUCGAAAGUGCGGGUAUCGAACAGGAUUAGAUACCCUGGUAGUCCGCACGGUAAACGCUGGAUGCCCGUUUUUGGCUUAUUUUAAGUCAGAGACCAAGCGAAAGCAUUAAGCAUCCCACCUGGGGAGUACGCCGGCAACGGUGAAACUCAAAGGAAUUGACGGGGGCCCGCACAAG